CUACGGAGGGUGCAAGCGUUAAUCGGAAUUACUGGGCGUAAAGCGUACGUAGGCGGUUAUUUAAGUCAGAUGUGAAAGCCCCGGGCUUAACUUGGGAACUGCAUUUGAAACUGGGUAACUAGAGUUUAGUAGAGGGGAGUGGAAUUUCAGGUGUAGCGGUGAAAUGCGUAGAGAUCUGAAGGAACACCAGUGGCGAAGGCGACUCCCUGGACUAGAACUGACGCUGAGGUACGAAAGCGUGGGUAGCAAACAGGAUUAGAAACCCCUGUAGUCC
rnacentral:rRNA from 1 species